rnacentral:rRNA from 1 species
CUCUUAGAUGUUCUGGGCCGCACGCGCGCUACACUGGUCUUCGCAAACGGAUGCAUUCUCGAAGGAGAAUGCCAAUCUUGGAAUCUAUGCCUUGGUCGGGACAGUUGCUUGCAAUUUUUCGACUCGAACCAGGAAUUCCUUGUAAUCGUGAUUCAUCACAUCACGAUGAAUACGUCCCUGCCCUUUGUACACACCGCCCGUCGCUCCUACCGAUCGAAGAGUUAGGUGAAUUGUUUUGAUCGAUAAGAUUUGACUAUGGUCAACUCUCGUUGUGAAAUUCUGUGAAUCUGACUGUUUAGAGGAAGGAAAAGUCGUAACA